AUGGCGCUGGCGACAACAAAGACCAGUUCGUCUACUCUGGAUUCACCGGCGCGCCCCUCUCGCUGGACGGCACUGCCAGCGUCACCGAACGGCCUCCUCGAGCUGACCAAUGGCACGAUCCACCUCAAGGGCCAUGCGGUUCACCCAACGCCGCUGCGUCUGAAGAGGUCACCAGGAGGCGCCGUGCGGUCCUUCUCCACGUGGUUCGUCUUCGGCAUCCGCACCAACUACCCUGAGCUGAACCUGAGCGGCCACGGUAUCGUCUUCUUCAUCGGGACCAAGAACUUCUCGACGGCUUUCCCGGGUCCGUACCUGGGCCUCCUCAACGACCGGAACAACGGCAACACAACCAACCAUGUCUUUGGCGUCGAGCUCGACACCAUAAUGACCACCGAGUUUCGCGACCCGGACAACAACCAUGUCGGCAUAGACAUCAAUGGCCUCCAUUCCGUUGCUGUCCAUGCCGCUGGCUAUCACGACGACAAGACCGGUGCUUUCCGGGACCUGUUACUGAUCAGCGGCAAGGCCAUGCAAGUCUGGGUGGACUACCACGGGGAAUCCACGCAGAUCAACGUGUUCUUGGCCCCCCUGGAGAUGGCCAAGCCUGCAAGGCCGCUAGUAUCUUCCAUGUACAACCUCUCACAAGUGCUGCUGGAGCCAUCAUUUCUUGGGUUCUCGUCGUCCACGGGCUCGAUGAUCAGCUCUCGCCACUACGUGCUGGGUUGGAGCUUUGCCAUGGAUGGACCUGCUCCAGCCAUUGACAUCAGCAAGCUGCCCAAGUUGCCAGAGAAGGUCUCCAAGAAACAGCACUGGGUAUUGGGUAUCACUCUGUCAACAGCCAUCAUAGUGUUCGCCCUCCGAGUGGUUUCAAUCAUGGUCUUGCUUAUUCGAAGGCGUAUAAAGUACGCCGAGGUGAGAGAGGACUGGGAGGUUGAGUUUGGUCCACACAGAUUCUCCUACAAGGAUCUGUACCGUGCAACGGAAGGUUUCAAGAGCAAAAUGUUGCUUGGCACCGGUGGAUUUGGGGGUGUGUACAAAGGAGUGCUUCCCAACUCUAAGAUGGAGAUCGCGGUGAAGAAAGUGUCACAUGAUUCAAGUCAAGGAAUAAAGGAGUUCAUCGCGGAGGUGGUCACCGUUGGCCGUCUCCGCCACCGCCACCUUGUUCAGCUUCUGGGUUACUGCCGGCGAAAUGGUGAGCUCCUCCUGGUCUACAACUUCAUGCCAAAUGGCAGCCUUGAUCAGUACCUGUAUGACCCCAAGUGUAAGAAUACACUACACUGGGCCCAGAGGUUCCAAAUCAUCAAAGGCAUCGCAUCCAGCUUGUUGUACAUCCAUGAGGAAUUCGAGCAGGUUGUCAUACACCGUGACAUCAAGGCGAGCAAUGUUCUCCUGGAUAGUGAGAUGAACGGAAGGCUGGGUGACUUCGGUCUCGCAAAACUGUGUGAUCAUGGUGCAGAUCCACAGACAACGCACAUAAUUGGCACGAUGGGGUACCUAGCCCCUGAGUUAGCGCGCACGGGGAAGGCGUCUCCUAUCACCGAUGUGUUUGCCUUUGGUGCAUUCGUUCUUGAAGUCGUCUGCGGGCGGAGACCUAUUGACCAAGCCAUGCAGGACAACCGGCGCAUAUUGGUCGACUGGGUGCUCGAGCAUUGGCAAAAGGAAGCACUCAUGGAGGUAGUUGAUGCACGGCUCCACGGCAACUAUGACGCUGAUGAGGCGAUACUUGUAUCAAAAAUAGGAUUGCUGUGCUCGCAUCCCGUCCCUAGUGCAAGGCCUACCAUGCGGCAAGUGAUGCAGUAUCUUGAUGGAGACAUGGCAUUCCCGGAGCCAACACUUUCACAGAUGAGCUUUAGUAUGCUAGCACUUAUGCAAAGUGAAGCGUCGAUGAGUAUGUCCAUGGUAAGUGGCCUCUCUGGAGGGAGAUGA
rnacentral:rRNA from 1 species